rfam:Jatropha curcas cultivar GZQX0401 scaffold502_40, whole genome shotgun sequence.
GAAUGAGGUGAUGAUUUGAUAUGUUUCCCUAUUGGUUUGAUUGCCAAUAUGAUGGCAGUAUUAGCUCUAUCUGAUCAUUC